rnacentral:rRNA from 1 species
AUGGAGCGGCUGCGGCUGCCGCCGAACGCGCGCUGCCCUCUUCGCCUCGUCUGCCGGCACUGGCGCGACGUCGUCGACCAGCUCUCGGCGAUGGACUUGCGCAGCCGCCCCAGGAUCCUCGCCUUCAGCCCCGAGGGCCUCGCGUACGUCGGCGACGUUGUCCUGCCGCCGGAGGGCGGCCGAGAACCGUCGUGGUCGACGGACCACUCCAUGCCUGCAAUCUACGGUUCCAUGAGCAUGGUCGGCACCUGCAACGGCCUCGUGUGCCUGUGCGAUGACCGGGAGCCCGGUGGCGCCGUCAUGCUGGCCAACCCGUCGACCGGCCAAUCGCUCGCCGUCCCGCCGCUGCCGCUGUCCAACGCCGCCGUCCGGCUCCUGUGCAACAGCACCUGCACCAUGACGUGGCACCAGACGUACAUCCUGGCGCGGCACCCUGCGACGGGGCGGUACAAGGCCGGCCCCGACGCCAGGUGCGUCCACGGCGCCUACCGCCUCGCCGACGUCGACGGCACCGUGUAUUGGGUCGCGGAGACGGAGGACGCCGCCAAGAUCAUGUCGUUUGACCUUGAAGACGAGAGCGUCACGCCCACCGAGCCUCUGCCCGUGCCAGCCCAACCGGGCAACUGUCGCCUGACGAAGGUGCACGGGAGGCUGGGCGUUGCCAUCAGCGGCGACGACUGGCUGACGGUGUGGGUUCUGGAGGGCGAGGGAUGGAGCCCCCGGUACAUCGUGGAGGCGCACAGGCUGCGGCAGCAGCAGCCGUGGCUGAGGCGGGACCUCGUGGUGCCGCACUUCGCACAUGGCGACUACAUCCUCGCAUAUCGAGACCGCAAGAUGUACGGGCACAAGGUGAGUCAAGCGGCGAGGUUGCCGGACGGCGUGGUGCAGAUCAGAGACAACAAGGACCUCGACGGGGAAAUACUUUCUCUCCCGUGCCUUAUUGACCGGAUGUUUGCCUACGUCGAGACCAAGGAGCCCUUGAAUGUUUACAAAGCAUCAAUGCCGGCGUGGUAG